UCCUGGUUAGCUCAGUUGAUAGAGCGUUCCACUGGAAAUGGACAGGUCCCGGGUUCGAUACCAGGACAAGCGG
rnacentral:tRNA from 1 species